rnacentral:pre_miRNA from 1 species
AGCACUUAGGGAUCUUGUUAAAAUGUGGACUCUGUUUCAGCAGGUGUUGGGUGGAUCCCAAGAAUCUGCAUUUCUAACAAGCUCCCAGGUGAUGCCCU